rnacentral:rRNA from 1 species
UGGAUCCAGACUUUGAUCCUGGCUCAGGACGAACGCUGGCGGCGUGCCUAAUACAUGCAAGUAGAACGCUGAAGAGAGGAGCUUGCUCUUCUUGGAUGAGUUGCGAACGGGUGAGUAACGCGUAGGUAACCUGCCUUGUAGCGGGGGAUAACUAUUGGAAACGAUAGCUAAUACCGCAUAACAAUGGAUGACUCAUGUCAUUUAUUUGAAAGGGGCAAAUGCUCCACUACAAGAUGGACCUGCGUUGUAUUAGCUAGUAGGUGAGGUAACGGCUCACCUAGGCGACGAUACAUAGCCGACCUGAGAGGGUGAUCGGCCACACUGGGACUGAGACACGGCCCAGACUCCUACGGGAGGCAGCAGUAGGGAAUCUUCGGCAAUGGGGGCAACCCUGACCGAGCAACGCCGCGUGAGUGAAGAAGGUUUUCGGAUCGUAAAGCUCUGUUGUAAGUCAAGAACGAGUGUGAGAGUGGAAAGUUCACACUGUGACGGUAGCUUACCAGAAAGGGACGGCUAACUACGUGCCAGCAGCCGCGGUAAUACGUAGGUCCCGAGCGUUGUCCGGAUUUAUUGGGCGUAAAGCGAGCGCAGGCGGUUUGAUAAGUCUGAAGUUAAAGGCUGUGGCUCAACCAUAGUUCGCUUUGGAAACUGUCAAACUUGAGUGCAGAAGGGGAGAGUGGAAUUCCAUGUGUAGCGGUGAAAUGCGUAGAUAUAUGGAGGAACACCGGUGGCGAAAGCGGCUCUCUGGUCUGUAACUGACGCUGAGGCUCGAAAGCGUGGGGAGCGAACAGGAUUAGAUACCCUGGUAGUCCACGCCGUAAACGAUGAGUGCUAGGUGUUGGAUCCUUUCCGGGAUUCAGUGCCGCAGCUAACGCAUUAAGCACUCCGCCUGGGGAGUACGACCGCAAGGUUGCAACUCAAAGGAAUUGACGGA